UACGGAGGGUGCAAGCGUUAUCCGGAUUCACUGGGUUUAAAGGGUGCGUAGGCGGGCAGUUAAGUCAGUGGUGAAAUCCUGGAGCUCAACUCCAGAACUGCCAUUGAUACUAUCUGUCUUGAAUAUUGUGGAGGUAAGCGGAAUAUGUCAUGUAGCGGUGAAAUGCUUAGAUAUGACAUAGAACACCUAUUGCGAAGGCAGCUUACUACGCAUAUAUUGACGCUGAGGCACGAAAGCGUGGGGAGCAAACAGG
rnacentral:rRNA from 1 species